UACGUAGGGUGCGAGCGUUUGUCCGGAAUUAUUGGGCGUAAAGAGCUUGUAGGCGGUUUGUCGCGUCUGCCGUGAAAAUCCGGGGCUCAACCCCGGACUUGCGGUGGGUACGGGCAGACUAGAGUGUGGUAGGGGAGACUGGAAUUCCUGGUGUAGCGGUGAAAUGCGCAGAUAUCAGGAGGAACACCGAUGGCGAAGGCAGGUCUCUGGGCCACUACUGACGCUGAGACGCGAAAGCGUGGGUAGCGAACAGG
rnacentral:rRNA from 1 species